rnacentral:tRNA from 1 species
CGCGGGAUGGAGCAGUCUGGUAGCUCGUCGGGCUCAUAACCCGAAGGUCGUYGGUUCAAAUCCRGCUCCCGCAACCA